rnacentral:rRNA from 1 species
GUGUUGGGGAACCAGGACUUUUACUUUGAAAAAAUUAGAGUGUUCAAAGCAGGCCUUUGCUCGAAUACAUUAGCAUGGAAUAAUAGAAUAGGACGUGUGGUUCUAUUUUGUUGGUUUCUAGGACCGCCGUAAUGAUUAAUAGGGAUAGUCGGGGGCAUCAGUAUUCAAUCGUCAGAGGUGAAAUUCUUGGAUUGAUUGAAGACUAACUACUGCGAAAGCAUUUGCCAAGGAUGUUUUCAUUAAUCAGUGAACGAAAGUUAGGGGAUCGAAGACGAUCAGAUACCGUGGUAGUCUUAACCAUAAACUAUGCCGACUAGGGAUCGGACGGUGUUAGUAUUUUGACCCGUUCGGCACCUUACGAGAAAUCAAAGGUAGUGGAUAUUCUGGGGACGAGGACGGAAAG